GCAUAUCAAUAAGCGGAGGAAAAGAAACCAACAGGGAUUGCCCUAGUAACGGCGAGUGAAGCGGCAACAGCUCGAAUUUGAAAUCUGGCCUCGGCCCGAGUUGUAAUCUGUAGAGGAUGCUUUUGGCGCGGUGCCUUCCGAGUGCCCUGGAACGGGACGCCACAGAGGGUGAGAGCCCCGUAUGGUCGGACACCAAGCCUGUGUAAAGCUCCUUCGACGAGUCGGGUAGCUUGGGAAUGCUGCUCUAAGUGGGAGGUAAACUUCUUCUAAAGCUAAAUACUGGCCAGAGACCGAUAGCGCACAAGUAGAGUGAUCGAAAGAUGAAAAGCACUUUGAAAAGAGGGUCAAAUAGUACGUGAAAUUGUUGAAAGGGAAGCGCUCAUGACCAGACUUGCGCCGGGCUGAUCAUCCAGUGGUCUCCACUGGUGCACUCUGCCCGGCUCAGGCCAGCGUCGGCUGUCACGGGGGGACAAAAGCACUGGGAAAGUAGCUCUCUCCGGGGAGUGUUAUAGCCCUAUGCAGAAUACCCCCGCGGCGGCCGAGGUCCGCGCUCUGCAAGGACGCUGGCGUAAUGGUCAUCAGCGACCCGUCUUGAAACACGGACCAAGGAGUCGAGGUUUUGCGCGAGUGUUCGGGUGCAAAGCCCCAGCGCGUAAUUAAAGUGAACGUAGGUGAGAGCUUCGGCGCAUCAUCGACCGAUCCUGAUGUAUUCGGAUGGAUUUGAGUAGGAGCGUAAAGCCUCGGACCCGAAAGAUGGUGAACUAUGCCUGUAUAGGGUGAAGCCAGAGGAAACUCUGGUGGAGGCUCGCAGCGGUUCUGACGUGCAAAUCGAUCGUCAAAUAUGGGCAUGGGGGCGAAAGACUAAUCGAA
rnacentral:rRNA from 1 species